rnacentral:rRNA from 1 species
UCGAGCGAGAAAGUUCCCUUCGGGGAGCGAGUACAGCGGCGAACGGGUGAGUACAACGUAGGUAACCUACCCCCGAGACUGGGAUAACCUGUCGAAAGACGGGCUAAUACCGGAUAAGACCACGAGGGCUGCGGCCUUUGGGGUAAAAGAUGGCCUCUAUUUAUAAGCUAUCACUCGAGGAGGGGCCUGCGCGCCAUUAGCUAGUUGGUGGGGUAAAGGCCCACCAAGGCGAAGAUGGCUAACUGGUCUGAGAGGAUGGCCAGUCACACUGGGACUGAGACACGGCCCAGACUCCUACGGGAGGCAGCAGUGGGGAAUAUUGCGCAAUGGGCGAAAGCCUGACGCAGCGACGCCGCGUGGGUGAUGAAGGCCUUCGGGUCGUAAAGCCCUGUCGGGAGGGAAGAAAUCUCAUCGGCCUAAUAUGCCGAUGACUUGACGGUACCUCUUAAGGAAGCACCGGCUAACUCCGUGCCAGCAGCCGGGGUAAUACGGAGGGUGCAAGCGUUG